CAUUUAACUUCUGUAAAUGGUGAACAAGUUAGGUUGUAAUGAUUGAUUUUGUUCUUUUAGAAGAGCUGUUAUUUAUGAGGAAAAGAUUUGAAGCUUUCACAAUUGUAUCUUGACCUGCUGAUAAUCAAUUUGUUGUGCUUAAAGCAUGCGAACACAUGCAAGUUGAGGGCAGGUAAGAAACAAAUCAUUCUGACCUUAUAUUUCUUAUAGCCAUUUAUUUUCUGCAAUAUGCAUUUCCAAGGUCAACAUGAAUAAUGCUGCACUGAGAAUGGAAUUUUUUGCACCCACUUAGAUAGAUAUAACUUGGUACUGCGUUAAUAUUGAUUAUUGAGCUUGAGCAACUACUACAAAAUGUGUUGAUUUCUGCAUUAUGUAAUAGCUCAUAGCUCACAUACUAGAAUGUAGGCUGCGGACUUUCUUAAAAUUAAGCUGCUAAGACAAUAUUUUUUCUGGCAUUUAGGUAGAUCCUCCCUUUCACUCCCUCCUGUGUCAUAUUUUGGCCUUUCUAAGAAAUGUAUUAGUUGCUUCCAAAGAAUAACUGAUAUCAAUUUGGAAUCCAAUCUCUCUCUAAGUUUGCAAAGCAACCUUAUAGUUGGCAGCCCCUCUUAGUUUAGAAGACAUCUUCUUCAGUCACCAUGUACUUUUCAAGUACUAAACAUCCAUGCACAAUUAAUGCUCAAUUAAUGCUCAAUUAAUUAAGGUAAGGGCUUCAAAAUGAUAAUUGGUACCUUUGAGCCAACUACUCUAGUAAUUUAAGAAAGAACGCUGAAUUAUAUCGACCAGCCAAGGCGAUGUUUACUACUAAGAUGUUUGUAAUGUCACCAUCCGACAGGUACCGAGCCUCAUACUUCAGAAAUAUAGCUAGUAUGUGUUUCAAGCAGCAAGGAAGCUGUGCCUUUCAUGCCUCCGAUUGCAGAUCAGCUGAUGCAGAUGCAGAUCCUGCUUGAUGCUGUGUAGUUGAUUCAUAUGAUAUUAUAUAUUGCCACAUAGUGAAACCACUGCAGUCAGUAUUCUUGAUUUAUAUGCUUCUCGCAUGCAACUUGUAAUUAUGGGUUUCCUAAAAUUAUAUAACUUAGCUGACAGAAACAUAUUUAAAUGUCAACUUCAUAUGAGUAUUAUGCAUCAGAUUGCAAUGGUUUGCUCUACCUUUAGUUUUUCUGAAGGAUGCAGCAGUUGAAGUCUUCAGUCAGAACCCUGAAGUGGUUGUGAGAUUUAUCACAACUCACACUGGAGAAGUGAUUUCUUUUAAAAAAAGAAACAAUGGCCUUGGGAAGUCUAGAUACCACAGGUAACGGUUGCCACAGACUACAUGAUCUAAUGGCUGCCACAAACAACAUGAUCUCCAUAGACAACAACAUGAUUGCUCAGAUGCUACAGGCAUUAGCCAAAGAUUAGUUGCU